UACGAAGGGAGCUAGCGUUGUUCGGAAUCACUGGGCGUAAAGCGCACGUAGGCGGAUGUGUCAGUCAGGGGUGAAAUCCCGGAGCUCAACUUCGGAACUGCCUUUGAUACAGCACGUCUUGAGUCCGGAAGAGGUGGGUGGAAUUCCUAGUGUAGAGGUGAAAUUCGUAGAUAUUAGGAAGAACACCGGUGGCGAAGGCGGCCCACUGGUCCGGUACUGACGCUGAGGUGCGAAAGCGUGGGGAGCAAACAG
rnacentral:rRNA from 1 species